rnacentral:rRNA from 1 species
AACGAACGCUGGCGGCAUGCCUAACACAUGCAAGUCGAACGAGACCUUCGGGUCUAGUGGCGCACGGGUGCGUAACGCGUGGGAACCUGCCCUUAGGUUCGGAAUAACUCCCCGAAAGGGGUGCUAAUACCGGAUAAUGUCUUCGGACCAAAGAUUUAUCGCCUUUGGAUGGGCCCGCGUUGGAUUAGCUAGUUGGUAGGGUAAAAGCAUACCAAGGCGACGAUCCAUAGCUGGUCUGAGAGGAUGAUCAGCCACACUGGGACUGAGACACGGCCCAGACUCUUACGGGAGGCAGCAGUGGGGAAUAUUGGAAAAUGGGCGAAAGCAUGAUCCAGCAAUGCCGCGUGAGUGAUGAAGGCCUUAGGGUUGUAAAGCUCUUUUACCCGGGAUGAUAAUGACAGUACCGGGAGAAUAAGCUCCGGCUAACUCCGUG